rnacentral:rRNA from 1 species
CGCGUAGGCGGUUUUUUAAGUCAGAUGUGUAAUCCCCGAGCUUAACUUGGGAACUGCAUCUGAGACUGGAAGGCUAGAGUACUGGAGAGGGUGGUGGAAUUCCUCGUGUAGCGGUGAAAUGCGUAGAGAUGAGGAGGAACGCCAGUGGCGAAGGCGGCCACCUGGACAGUAACUGACGCUGAGGCGCGAAAGUGUGGGUAGCAAACAGGAUUAGAUACCCUGGUAGUCCACGCUGUAAACGAUGGAUGCUAGCCGUUGGGGAGCUUGCUCUUCAGUGGCGCCGCUAACGCACUUAAGCAUCCCGCCUGGGGAGUACGGUCGCAAGGAUUAAA